CAAUGCUUUGUAGAUGUAGGAAGCCAUGAGAUUUGCAAUGAGAUUGCUGAUGAGGUGAUGACUAUGGACAACUUGAUUGCUGAACUCCAGGAACUGAGCAACCAGCUGAGGGACCAAAGCUGAAACACAGACCAGAUUUCGUGACUGGAAAACAAGAAUGAUGUAUUUGUUUUGUUACAACUUCUACUGAUGAAAUGGUAACAAUUCUAAAGCAACAGCAGCCUCAAUAAACGUUUUUUCUGAACAAUGCUAUUCUUGUGGUCAGCUUUCUUCAGAUAACAGACCGCUUAAGAUCCUUAUCUGCUCUCGCAGCGUUACGAAGCUGUGCGUCUGCCUUCUCGGGCCCAGAUUUUCUGGCAGCGAGCCGGUUGUGUUUAUAAGGCGAUUACUGAGGAUUAGUUCUGGCUGAGAGCAUGGCGCGGGCGCCGCUAGGCCCCGCGGAGCACUCCACCCGCGGUGCGAGCCAGGCAGCGCGAGAGGUGCCGGGGCGCAGGAGCUGGAAGACCAUCCGGUGGAGGCGGGAGCUGACGCCUCCCACCUAUCACACUCUCAGCAGCGAAGUGCACAGCCAAUUGGAGGGCGUGUCUUUCUUCAGCUGGCCAAUCAGGAGCUGCAAGGCUUGACCCGCCAGAAGUGAGGGGCCGAGGCGAGGACCGGCUGUGGUGCGAGGGGCCAUGAGGCGGGGCGGUGCGUGGCAGCGCCUGUCGGGCUGUGAUGUAGAGCAGCAAUAAAGUAGUGUUAUUUCAGUGCUCAAAGGGAAAGCCUGCUAUUCACAGUGUGUAGCUGAAGAGUGGAAUGGAUAGUGUCAUGGCAGCACACCAGUUUGUACUGUCAUAUUUAGUGACGUACAAAGGGAAUGUAUCUAGAGACUUAAAAAAAAAAAAAUUGGAGAAAAACAACUUAAAUAUGUACAAGCAGCAUAAAUGUAGUGGGCAAGAUGGACAAGCAGGAGCUGGAUCAUCAUUUCAGGAAACAUUGGCUCUUCAGAACAGAUCACCAUCCCAGGAGAUCUCAGUCACUUCAUCUGUGGGACCAAACACCAGACGUCCUUCCAGAAUCUCAGUGGCACCCGUUACAUAGAGUGGCUACAGCACAGGAACUGAGAU
rnacentral:lncRNA from 1 species